AUUGCACGCUGGCGGCAGGCCUAACACAUGCAAGUCGAACGAGUCGCGGACGGGUGAGUAAUGUCUGGGAAACUGCCCGAUGGAGGGGGAUCACUAAUGGAAACGGUAGCUAAUACCGCAUAACAUCGGAUGUGACCGGAUGGGAUUAACUAGUAGGUGGGUUAACGGCUCACCUAGGCGACGACCACUAGCUGGUCUGAGCGGAUGACCAGCAACACUGGAACUGGGACACGGUCCAGAGUCGUACGGGAGGCAGCGGUGGGAAAGAUUGCACAAUGGGCGCAAGCCGGAUGCAGCCAUGCCGGGUGUAUGAAGAAGGCCUUCGGGUUUGAAAAUACUUUCAGCGAGGAGGCGUUAAUCGCAGAGGAAGCCCCGGCUAACGCCGUGCCAGCAGCCGCGGUAAUAC
rnacentral:rRNA from 1 species